CUUCCGCCGUACUUGCUAGAAUGAUAAAUUUUCAAAUGCUUUCACUAGAUCAAAAACAAUUACUGUGAGAGAUUAAUCUAAACAAAUUAGAGAUACCGGAAUCGGUUUCACAUUCAGUAAAGGCUUUGAUUCCAGAAUUGUAGUUUAGAAGAUGAUAAAAGUAAGAUCUGGAACAAACUCGUUAUAUGGCUUUAUCAUCUUCUUUAGUAUUGGUGCUAAAUCCUCUGAUUUCCCAUGGGAAUAAAAGAGAAAAUCUGCAUGGUUAACUAUUUGGAGAUGGUUUUCAUUUGAUAUUUGGAUGUCGAGGGAUGGUUUUCAUUUUAAAUCUGCAUUUUUCUACAUGAAGUUAGGACUUCUUGAAAAGUUUCUUCAUUGAAGGUUUGUGGAGUAAUGUGGCCUGUUCUUGGGAGUUUUAGCAAAGAGAAGGAGAGUUUCGUGGCUGUGAGUAUUAGGAGGGUUCUUUCCAAUUAGGAUGUGAUUGCAGUAAGGCUUAUUUGAGCAGUUUGGUCAUUGUUUUCUGUGAUUUCAUUAUUAAUUUGGUUUAUUCCUUUGUUUGUGUGAUUGUUUUUAUGUAUUGGUGCAUCUGUACGACCUUCUAAAAAGACAUCAUCGUUCCUGGAGUGCAAAAAAAUGGAGAUCCGUCAAGGAGAAGUGACUGGAGUGAUGUUAGGGUAUCGAUGUCGAUCGACACCAAUCAGCUAUGUCGCGAGGAUGGUCGCGAGUGACAAUCGACACAAUGUGUGCUAGGUAGUGAGUAUGGGACCAUUAACUGGCGAAUUAAAAAAAAACAAAGGGAUCGUAUCUUUACAAUGAGGCUUAAGGAGAGGUUGUAGAGGGUCUCCUAGAGGUUGAUGUGGCAGUUCUUGGGUUUUGAAGAAAGAGUUUGUUGAUUUCGUGGUUAUGGGUGUAAAGAGAGGUUGUUAUGGUUCUCUUCUUCUCUGUCCUUGUCUUUCAAUCAAUCCAAAUCAGAGGUAACUGCAUGACCAUGGCUGAUCUGAGUAUAUUGAACAUUCUGAUGUGUGUUUGAUCGGUGUGGAUGGUUAGAUUUUGUGUUGUAAAGUUUAAAAGUAAUCUCUAAACCCUUCAUAUUCUAAAUCGAUUUUAUGCGUAUGAUAUUUUUAAGUAAUCAUAUGAUUGAUUAGUUUA